rnacentral:rRNA from 1 species
AAACAUGUCUUUUUGAAAAUAAUUUAAAGUCUAAUCUGCCCACUGAUNAAAUUAUUAAAGGGCUGCAGUAUUUUGACUGUACAAAGGUAGCAUAAUCAUUAGUCUCUUAAUUGGUGACUUGUAUGAAAGAUUGAAUGAGAUAUAUACUGUCUCUAAUUAAUUUAUAAAAUUUAAUUUUUUAGUUAAAAAGCUAAAAUAAAUUUAAAAGACGAGAAGACCCUAUAGAGUUUAAUAAUUUAUUUAAUUAUUAUUAGUAUGUAAAUUUUAAAAUUAAAAUUAAUUAAAUUAUUUUGUUGGGGUGACAGAAAAAUUAAAUUAACUUUUUUUUUUAUUUAUACAUUAAUUUAUGAUUAAUUGAUCCAUUAAUAGUGAUUAAAAGAAAAAAUUACCUUAGGGAUAACAGCGUAAUUUUUUCUUUUAGUUCAAAUAAGAGAAAAAGUUUGCGACCUCGAUGUUGGAUUAAGAUAAAAUUUAAAUGCAAAAGUUUAAAAUUUUGAUCUGUUCGAUCAUUAAAAUCUUA